rnacentral:rRNA from 1 species
AGCGAACGCUGGCGGCAGGCCUAACACAUGCAAGUCGAACGAACUCUUCGGAGUUAGUGGCGGACGGGUGAGUAACACGUGGGAACGUGCCUUUUGGUUCGGAAUAACUCAGGGAAACUUGUGCUAAUACCGAAUGUGCCCUUCGGGGGAAAGAUUUAUCGCCAUUAGAGCGGCCCGCGUCUGAUUAGCUAGUUAGUGAGGUAACGGCUCACCAAGGCGACGAUCAGUAGCUGGUCUGAGAGGAUGACCAGCCACACUGGGACUGAGACACGGCCCAGACUCCUACGGGAGGCAGCAGUGGGGAAUCUUGCGCAAUGGGCGAAAGCCUGACGCAGCCAUGCCGCGUGAAUGAUGAAGGUCUUAGGAUUGUAAAAUUCUUUCACCGGGGACGAUAAUGACGGUACCCGGAGAAGAAGCCCCGGCUAACUUCGUG